AAUGAACCUACAAGUGAAAAAGAAGAGACAGAAAAAAGUUGGGUGCUUUUUAUUUCAGUGUUCACCAGCUGUGCACCAAAUCAAACUAGAGCCACCUCUGCUGAGUGUUCAUGCUCACUCCCAUGUUCCAGUCAGAGACAGGAGAAAUUGCUCUGACAGCUCCCCAAGCCCACCAGGCUGGCCCCCAAAGGCUCACCCAUGCUCUUGGGAGGAUGAAUGUGGACCCAGAGAGAUCUCCCUCUAUCAUUCAGUGUCCUUGAAUGAGCUGGAAGCACUUCUGGCACACAGCCAGCACAGGGAGUCUGUCAGCACAGUCAAAGGGAUUUAAGUCAGUUGAUGGCACAGAGUCAAGGAAGACUCUUGACAGUUUCCAAAGGGAUUUGAAAGAUGCAUCCAUAACAUCUGAGUCCUGCUUGCCAACAAGCAGAAAGGUGCCUGCCUCACUCAGAGAAGGAGCACCAGCAUUCAAAGCAGUCUCCAGCACGUGGCACUGGCAUCCCAUAAAAGAGGUAAAGGACAACUAAGUUCAAACAAAUUUUAGGAACCCUCCAUGGUUGUUUUUCACCCUUCCAGACAUAAAGAAUGUACAAGCUGUAGAUUCACCCCCUUCCCUACUUAGAAAGUCCUCCAGGGGAUUUAGAAGGAGCCUCCAUGGGUCAUACCAACGAGGUCAAGGUCUCCUCUAGCACCAACUAGGGUCAAUGUCUUCCUGCCAGGUGACAGCAGCUCAUGCUUCAACAGUUAAAAUGAGCAGCUUUAGACAGGGCAGAAUCAGAGUGCAUUCCCCGUCUGCUACAGAAAAACCUGAAAUCAGUUUGCAGAGUCAUCUCCCACGACAAAUGACAUUAUUGAAGUGUUUGCUCAGUGCCUGCUAAACACAAACACGGAUCUGCCACUUGGCUGGAAACCCAGUGCCCUCUGCAUCAGUAACCCAGCCAAAAGGAAAACUACCUGCCACACGCAUUCCUGAAAUGCAUGGGAGGAAAACCGUGGAUAAUUAUAAUAGGUUUCCAAUUAAAACUCUCUUUGGGGUUGCUAUUAACUGCACACACAAGUGCCUCCUCCUCCUCCCACUUCUUUCCCUGUUCCGCUUCACCUCCUCUUCUCCACAGGAGCUUCCGCUGCAUCUUUCAUGUUGCAAUUUUCUCAAAUCUCUCUCAUUUUCCCCCCAGUCUUGGCUCAUGUUUAUUGCUGGCAUCAUCUUUGCUCUCUGUCUGCUCCUGUUCUUACCAACAAAGCUCACUCAGACUCUCUUUGUCCCCUCAAUCCCCUGUUCCCACUGGGAGGUGUCCCCACCAUUCACUUGCACACAGUGGUGAUGGUUUGGGGUCCUGGCAUGCAGCAAGACUGCUGAAAUAACAACACAGCUGAUUUAUGAAAAUCAAGUUCAAGACCACCCUUCUAGGAAAGAAGUUAUUUUCAUUGUUGUUAAAUACAGAGCCUGGAUCCAGCCAGAGAAGAGGUACUUUUCAGGACCACCAGCAAACACAUCAUUCUGAUGCCCUUACCUCAGGCAUAAGAACACCAGAAAAAAAACAUCACCCUUCACACACACACCCCUGAAAUUUUGCCUUGCUUCUGCAGUAGCUGCCAUUACUGGAAACCAAAGCUGCAAGAUGCCUUUUGUACACAAAGUCACCAGUCCCUUCCCACGUCACUGCUUCCCUGAGCCUGCCUGUGUACGUGAACAUUUCCUGAAUUAUUUCCUUUUUUUGUGGGGGCAGCAAAGAAGAAUACAAUCCCUUCUCAUUUUCUUCCCCAAAUUGUACAGGAAGAUUGAUCAUUUUGGUUUCCCUGACGUCCCUGAUCUAAAAAACAAAGUUCAACAGCAACACAGCUUGAGCAAUUUUCCCCAGGCUGCAGCUGGGAAGGUCCCUGCUGGGUGACAGGCACUGGGCGAUCCCGGCUGGCUCAGAACUGCUACAGGCACCAAAACCUCCAACAAACAACUGGCUGACUUCACUUUUAUUCUGCAAAUGUCAACAGCAGUCAUCAGAGAAAAUAUCCUCCCUCCCACCCUCCUGCAAUGCUCUGGCAGACAUGCGACAGCAAAUUAAAACUGGAUGGCUGAAAUUAGCACUGACGAGACUUCUGCGGGCAGCUGGGCACAAAUACAACCUCCCUGAUUUUGCCUGCUAUAAGACAGUGGGCUGGAACCUGUGUCCGUUCAAACACUUGCUCAGAAGCAGAUCAAAUGUCCCUGACUUGGGCAGCAGCAUCCUGCAGGUCCUCGCCAGCGCUGCUUAAAGCCACCCCGUUGAGUUCCCUGCCGCAAGACCGCAGAGCUCUUGGCCUCAAGUGCACAGGUGUCACCCUGGAAGCUGCCAAAAGCCAGGUCUUUGAAAGCUGAACUAUAAAUCCACAUCCACAGUUAAGUGUUUAAAUCUGUGGCUUCGCUUUCCAAUAUAAGCAGGACUGGAAAAACGCAUCAGUUUUUUAGAGUCCAGUUUGGGAUAGACACGUUAUGGAGAUCUUGGCCAAAGUUUUUACCUAAGGAAAUAAUGUGGUUUAUGGCAGCACUUGGAAAAAGCAGAAGUUUGUUCUGCUCAUUAGGUAAGAAGUGCUGCAGGGCACUUGUAAUAAACCAGAAUUUAAAUUGAAUCUAAAUUUCAUGUUUCCAAUUACCCUAAGUAAUACAUCAACUUGAUGAUUUUUAGGUUUUUUCCUCCCCAGGCUGGAGAAACAGGACAGUGUCACCCUGCUGCCUGGUUUCAGUUAGAUGUAGUUAUUUUAUGUACAGAUUUUCAAGCUUGUCCAAGAAGCAUGGUACAUUCUGAUAACUUCAUUUUCCCUGAGUUUGUGAAGAAGCCUUUCAAACACUUGAAGUUAAUUCAGUGCCUGAAGGUUCACCACCAGCUGAGAGCUGGCCCCAUAUGAGAGUCAUCGAGCCGAGGAGCCCCUUUCUGCUCAGUGGUGCAGAGCCUAGCAGGUGACACAACUAAUACUGACCCAAGAGAUGCUUUCACAGCUCUGCUGGAGUUCAUGGGAAGCUCCAACCCCCCAGAAUUUGUGUGUUGAACUGAGAUGGAGCUUAAGCACUGCUAAUCCAGAGAAGCAACAAAUGAAGUCUUCUCCCAGACAUGAGAGUUUGCCCGUAUCCGCCUGCUCUCGCUGAAGCGUCACAGCACACACUCAUAGACCUGUCAAACAUGACACCUACACUAUCAAACAUGAAACAGUGAUUCAGAAACAUGUUCUGCACCACAGUGGCAAUUACAAAGCUUAGUAACAAUCACCUCUUCACACAGGAACUUUUUCGCUGUUGUUAAAUUAACACCAGAAAUAUCUGGGUCAGAAAGGAUAAGUUCACCCCAUCUCAAAAUAAAAACACCCAUUUCAAAAUAAAAAUAGUAAAAAUAGAACAGGACUUGCUAGUAAUUCUUCCAGUGUCCAAAGAUUAUGGUGAAAAUUCAAACCAAACCAAAGAAAAUUAGAAAUGAAAGCUGCAGAGGAGGGGGCUCCCUGAGGACAGCAGUGUUCAGCCAAACCAGGGCUGCCAACAAGAACAGCUCCAUGGAGCAGAGCCAAGUGGUUACCAAUCGACUGCACCUACAUGCUUGGCCUCCCAGUCACUGCUGGUUCUCAAGUGCAAUAUGAGAACAAAAAUAGAGCACAAGGGAACUGAAAGAGAAACCUUGCUCUAAAUAUUCCCACUUGUUUCUAUUUUCCUCCCUUUGCUAUCUCCACACCAGGAAUUUUGUUUCCUCAAGGCAGAGAAAGUGGUUUAUAUACACUCUCUGAGGCUCACUGUUAGUUUCUUUCUGAAGGGAUCUCUUACCCCUUCACAAUUCUAUUUAAUUAAUUCACAAUUUUCUAUUAUAAUUUUCAUUUGAUCAGUGUUUAUAUUGCACAUCCAAAUGGCCUUCAGACUCUUGUCAGGUCAGCAGUGCUGCCCACUUCAUCAUCUGUCUGCUCCUUUGUGUCACACAUACACACCCACAAAGUGAUGAUCGUCCAGUGUAAGUAAUUCCAUAACUCAGCCUGUUUGCACCAAAAUGUACUGUUUACUUGACUUUGAGACAUAAUAUUAGAUUCUGAAGGAUUUGCCUUUUAAUGAAUGAGGUUAUGGAGAUGUUUGUUCAGCACAUGCCACUCUUCGUUAUGACAUACAAGUCAUUAAAGUUAUUAAAGGUGGAGUCACAGUGAUGCUCAUAGUUCAGGUUUUCCAUGAAGAAUCCCUACUUUCAAUUACUUGCAACUGCAACAGACUUCAGCCUUUACAGCUGGAGUUUUCAGUGGCAGGCAGCUGUCCUGGGCACAAGCAGCCUCUCCUCUGCCCUUGGAGUUAGGAAAUGUGGUCCCAGUGUCUCUCCUGCCUGGCUUGUCUGUGCAUGAGGCUCUUUGAGUUCAAGUAUUCAAACCAGGAGGGAAGGAGCCCCACAAGAGACCACAGAACCCCCUCACAACCAGUCUGAAAAGAAGCUCUUCCCACUUGGUUCCAUGUAGAUCCCUGCAAGAAUCAGGAUAGCAAGGGAAGCCUCAGCUUUUCCCCUGCCAAGAUGGGUACACAGCUCUCUGCCUAAUUCCAGACAGAGACAAUUUUACAGGUUCACAUGUCCAGUGUUAUUUUGCCAGAAUAAUGAUGAAUGGCAGAUCUGUAAGACCAUUCACCUGGCUUCCAGCUCACACAAAGAGUCACUGUAACUUCAGCUACGUGGUUCUCACUCCAUUUGGGAAACUCUCUACAAAAACUUAAAAGAAAACAAACAACUUUGCACAAAGCUGGAACAUUACUUUAACAUGUUGACUGAUUUUCUAAACAACCAAACAUAUUGUGGUAUAUCACAGCAGUGUUUACAUGGAAUGUCCUGCCCCUUGAAACCAAGCACUUGCAUGAGACCACUCUGUGAGAAAAGUUUUGUUGGCUAAGCCCAGUGAUGCCUUUAACUAUUUAAAUACGCUUUUUAAUUCUGAACUUGCACUGCUGCUCAAGCUUUGAGCAGACUCAGUAGGGGAUUACUGCAUUUUAAGUACUGUUCAAAGCCAGUGGAAGAAAGGCUUCCAAGGAGCUGAUCCCAAGCAAUCUAGCUUGAUGGAGCCAGCUGUGCAGAACUGCCAGCACCCAGUAGUCCUCUUCUACUGUCCCAGGACUUGCUGCUGCCUCUGUAAAUGAUUCUUUAUGCAAUUCAUACCAAGAACAGUUUAUACCUCUUCAGAUUCCAGUUUUAGACACCCUAGAUGAAUUACCCAGUUCCAAACAAGACAAGGAAGCAAUAUUGAAAAAAAAAGAGAAAAAAAGAAAAAAAAAAAAAAAGAAAAAAAGAAAAAAAGAAAAAAGAAAAUUCAUCACUAAUUAUAGCUUGUGCUGCCACCCUUCAUGUCUAAGGGUUUCACAUUUUUUCAGCCUGAUUUUGACUUUCCCAUCAACAGAUCAUAUGCCUUAACUAGAGCUGCUUCAGAACAGAUGGAGUUUGAACAGAUGAGUUGAAGCUUUCUCUAUGUUUGCAUUUAUUUUAGUGGUCAGUCAUCUCACUGGGUCACCUCGAUAUAGCUGACCCCCACUAUUCCCUUCCACAUACCUUAAAGCAAAACAAAUCCCGCAGCUUAUGUUGGGAGGAUUAUACAUGAAUACAUUCCAAGGAGCAGCAGUUUAUAGUUCACAUGACAUUUUACUGCUGCCCUGGGAGAGGUGGAUGAGCACAAGGAGCUGUUUGGACAGGAGACAUCCCCAGUGGGCAGCACAACCUGUGCAAAGCCAGCCUGACACACCGGAGCACGCAGAGACCGGGAUUAGCGGCGCUGGACGUCGGCCAAACCGCGUCUUACAUAGGCCCCAACAAGGGUAACUUUUACUCAGAUGAACAUUUGUAAGCCAUAAACCUAUUUACUCUAAGGAGCUAAAGGAUUUGGACAAAGAAUCCCACGCCGUUCACUUCCUCAACCCUCGGCACGGGCUGGCCCGACGCGCCCGGCCCCACGGAGGGGUUUGGGCUGCACUUCAGGCCAUGUUUACAUUCAGCUUUCACUUUUUUGGGGGGCAUCUCUCAAUAGCUACAGCAUAUUACAUUACCUCAAGCCAAGAUAGUAACACAGCUUGCAAACAGCAGUUUCUGCAUUGCCAGACACUUAACUAGAUGGUAGAUUUAUACCAUUGUUCAUGUUUGGUUCUUUAAAAAAAGACAUCAGGAAUAUACCUCUAAGUGUGUAUUAAAUAUAGCACAACCCCAAAAGAAGAAAAUAGUACUGUGGUCUGCUUUUAAUGAGCAUCACAAAUUCUUUUUGAAGGCUCAACUGACAUAAAUGGAAUUUAAAAAAAAAAAAAAAACAACAGCAAAUACCUCCUCUCUAUCACACAGGAAUUCAUAACAUUUGAGAUUGAAUCCAUGUGGGAAAACUCUGCAACAACAGCAGUUCAUGCAAUUGAAAUCCCCAUAUGUGGUUCUUCCUCACUAUAUUCCUGAUUUAGUGGUUUUGUCUUCUACUUUAGUUUUCAUAUAAUUUGAUAGUAUGGAGCAAUGAUGAGCUGGGGCUUAUUUAAGCCAAGGGAACUCAGAUGACUACAACAUGCCAACCACACAUGCACCUCAAAUAGAUCCUUUGCAGUCUGGGUUGUACCAGAUUUGAAAGUUGCAAGAAGCAGAAAACAGAAACAAUUUUUCCAAUAAUAGGAAGUCAAGAUCCAUUUCUAAAAUCUGCUCUAUUUUUAAGAAUUCCCAAUAAAUUCCUAUGGAUUUUAGAAUGCUUAACAAAAACAAUUUAAAACUACAACACCACAUGGAUAUGCCCCAAGGAAAACAAACAAGCAAAUGCUGGUAUAAGAACCCAGGUAAAUCAAUCCUAAAGACGUUUCUAUUUUAAUUUUUUUCUUAUUGAUAAAUAUUCUGUGCUCAGAAAGGUGAACUCAGCAGUAGCAAAUAAAGUGACAUGAAAAUACUGCUAUAUUCUGACAGGCAAACUUAUGCCCUUCUCAGCAGCAACCCCUCCCUAAAAACCUGUACAGAAAAACUGGAAAAAUUUGGAUCUUUUUUUGAACAGCAAGAGGGGAGAAGAAAAAAAAAAAAAAAAAAAAGAAAAAAGAAAAAAGCUUUCUGCCUUGCCCGGGAGGAAACCUUUGAAAUGCAAAGUGAGGAGGAAGACCCAGCUUGUGGAUAAAUAGCACAGCCUUGGCUUCUGUACAUCCCAAAUCCUGCUACAACAAAGCAUCAAAGCACUACAGAAAACUUCACAGCAGUGGACACUAAGAUAACUGAGCCAAAAGAAUUCAUGCAUAACACUAAUAGAUAGAUAUUUCUGGACUCUGGAGUUAAAUUAGCUAACACUAAAACAACCACACUGCUGUGUCCUAAUCAGCAAGAACAAACUUCUUAGAAUCAGUAUCUGUGGACCAAAAAAGGCUGGACAUUGUUUUUGAAAAUAAUUUCUUCUCAGAAAGCCUGAUUUUUUUUAUUUCUUUUUAAUUAUUUUUUUCUAAAUUGGCUGAGACAUUUUGUUAGUUCAGCAAAUAGUUUUGGAGAAAACAAAGUAAGAAUUCAAGACAGAAGUUGUCUUGCAUUUGGUUUAGGAUUUGAUGCAGCACUUAGGUUCUUGCAUCUCCAGAUUAAACUCGUGUAAAAUGGAGUUCUCAUGCCAUGGGAUUGGUUUCCUUAUAUUUAAUUCAGUGUUUUCAUGCAGGGGUCAUGAAUGAACUUCUCCUUUCAGGCUUUGAACAGGUGAUAGGGCCAGGAUGUUCAAACUUAGAUUUCUCAUUUGUUUUAAAGCUGUUCCACCUAAAAUUUAUAUCUUAUCCUAACAUUCACAUCCCAGCUCAGAGACUGGCUGGGCACUUCCAUCUCACAGCUGUGGGCCCUGAGUACCUUGUCACACCCUGUCCUGCUGGCUGAAUAUCCACUGACAUCUGCAAGGGCAUCUCCAAGCAAGACAGGAAUACAGCAGGACCCUCCCAGUACUUCUCUGGGCCAGUGAUCUGACCAUUCUUCUCAGCUGCAGGAAAGCCACAUGCUCUAUGUUAAACCAAACAGCCCUGUAUUCUGAAAGAAAUGCUCUAGCAUUCAGUAUUUCUCCAGGCACUCCCACUCUCGAUACCAAAAUUUGCUUCAAGAAAUGGGGAAAAAGUUUCAAAAUACAGAACUUUAAAUCCACUAAAUAUUAAAAUAAACUGAAGUUCCUUGCUGUUUCAGAAUACCAGAUUGACAUUUUAAAUGCUUGGAGAACUUCAGAAAUCAGUCAGUCAUGUUCUAAAACGGUUUUGCAAAGUCAUUUGGCACAGCAAGUCACAAAAGCACGAGUAAACUCCUCAGAAUAUUUAAUACUAGUUUAAAAUUGUCUAGCAUAUAUAUCCAAAGAGAACUCUGAGCCACUGGAGCAAGAGAUGGGCUGUAUUUGCAAUAGAAUUCAGCUUCCCUCUCUCUAGAGGCAGGGACAAAGCCAAGGUGCCUUACUACAGCCCUCGAUCCACAGGAGUCCAACCUGCAAAUGCUGCCCUGAGAGUGCAGGGAUCCUGAAAGCUCUGGCAUUUCCAUGCCAGCACAUUGCCUGUGGCUCACAGCACAUCAAACUCCCUCCUCCUGCAACAAGGGCAGCCUGCAGGAGCACUCACAUCUCCCUUCUGACCCUUGUUCUUCUCAGUUUAGAUUUCAUCUCAAGUUUACUCAGGUAGCUCAUGUGUUGUCUAGGUAACAGGUAGGGGAAAAGUUAGGGAUAAAGAAAAGAAUGGAGCAGAGUUGUGUGAAUGUCAUAGUCCUAGUCCCAAUAGAAAAAAGUUCCUAAAGAGUUAAAUGUCCCCAUGGAAGGGAGACAAGCAAGAGGAAAAGCUGUAUUGCUAAUCUUCUAUCAGAACACCCACACAGUAGGUGGGGGACUAUAACCAACAGAUUUCUUUCCAGUAGGGAUAAGUAAAAGACCUAUUUUUAUUUUAAAUUAGAUAUUAUUUUUAUUGUAAGACCCUUGUUUCUGCUGCUUAUGUAUUUCACAAACACUGACUUAUCAGACAUGUCCAAGUUCUCUGCCUAAAGCUGAUUCUUUAAAGAAAUGCAGCUGUUUCCUAGAACAGGGAAGAUAGACAUCUUGCACACAAGCCAUGGAAAUCUUUCCUUCUCUGACGUUUCAGCAUUGCAUGGAGAAAUUAUGUAGAGCAGCAGGGCAGAAGAGCUAUAACUGGACCAAGAUAUCCAGGAGAUUACAAAUAAGCAGCCCUGGGCAGCAGGAAUAAGAUCAAGAACUAAGUGGGGGCAGGGCAGUGGGGAAGGAAUGUGUUUGGAAAUCAGAUGUCAGUUGGAAAAGGAGUCUGUGCCCAAGAGAACAAGCUCCUUUUCUGAGCCAGAACCAAAUCCAGGAGUCCAGAUUCCCAAUACCUCACUACUGCCAGCAGUAACCACGAAGUCUACAGACCAGCUGUGCUCUUCUCACACUCCUCAUUAACCAGGAAGGGGCUGACAACCAAAUCCUGUCCCAUACUUCACAGACCAAGUCACAGGCAGCAGCACAGAAAACUACUGCAUCACCCCUGCAUACAUGAUUCUCAUUUUUGCUUUCUAUGACAGCUGUCUAAAAAGAUCUUGCAAACAUUUACAGGCCCACAACACUGUGAAGAUCAUUGUUCAGGCUGCAACAAAAGUGAGUAGUUCAAAAUCAGGAAAAACCUGAAAUAAAAACCAAUUGUGUGAUGGAAAACCUUUUGGCUUAUGCCCAUAAAGCCUUUGGUUCCCCACACACCAGCUCCCAACAGCUGUUCAAUAUGCAGCAGAAGCAGUGGUCAAGCAGCUGGACACAAAUUCUGUUUUCUUCGCAGCUCAGUCCCUGACUGAACUUCUCCACAGGCCAGACUUACUGUGGAAAAGAAAUCCUCCCUUUUCCAAUAGCUACAUGGAGGAACUUUUGGUUUACAAACCACAUAUUGGCCAGAAGGCAACAGGCUGAUCCCUGGGACUUGUGUCAGCACCUGUCAGCUCCUCGGCAGCCGGGCUCCAGCGCCCAGCCCGCACCGAGCCUUCCCCACGGAGCCGGGCCAUGGAGAAGCCACUCGAAUUUCACACACCAGCCUAUAGUUAGUAACUGAACCAUCAAGGUUAAGCCUUGGGUGUCCUUCAGCUCUUUGUGAGAUUUUUGACAUGUGAGCAGGAAGCACAGGGCAGCUGCCGUGCUCUGUGCUGGCAGAAUCGAACACCUCACACACACACAAAUGAUGAAAAUGUUUGUGAACACCUCACAAGUGGUGAAAAUGCAGCUCCUGCAGCUUUACCCAGUGAUACACAGCAGGGACUGCUGCCUUUGGCAGCUCAGGAAAGAGCUUACAGUGACUGAUCAUGUCUCAUUUCCCAACAAAACCAUGAGUCACAAUAAAAGCAAGAAUGCAUUUAAAUCCAAGGAAUCGUCAAAAACAUUUAAUUCUCUCUCAGGUUUCACCUGAGUAUGGUUCAGCCACCAAAAAUCUGAACCACCCUUUAAAAAAAAAUUUAAAAUUCAAAAUCAUGUUAUUACAGCUGUCCCAUAAAAUAGUGUAAUGGCACAAAGUCAUUUUAUGAGGACAGCUGUGAUAAUAUAUUAUGCUUGCAGAAAAUAUUGAGCCAAAAGUUGUACCACAGUAUUUGCUUGAUUUUUACUUAUAUUUUCUCUUUUAAGUGUUCUCCCAUUAGCUGUACAAGUAAACUGAUGAUAAAGCAAUAUCAAACCAAAACUGACUGUCUAUUUUGGCACAGCAUGAAAAACUGCAGCACUCUGUGCCCCACGCCAAGUGCCAGACAUUUUUCAUCUGUAAAUAAGGAUCUUGUCCAGGUUAUGGGCUAGAAGAAUGUAAAGGGAAAGGUCUGAAAUAUUCAGACAGAAUUCUGAAGCUUAAACUUUCAACAUAGUUCUCAAAGCAACACGAUGAUAUCAGUUCACAAAUAGCUUAAGCAGAAGUCCAGCACAGUGGUAGCUGUCUCAGGCUACGUAACAGGCCUUUCAAAAGAGUAUGAAGUAACAGAACUGAAAUGUAUUUGGCAAGAUGCCAUCACCCAGAUGAGAUCCCAGCCUCACAGAUAUGUACAGUACACAGCAAUUCAUCAGCUCAUACCCUGUGGCACUGACAUUUCUUCUGUCAAACCAAAAAUAGCUGUAGCAAAAGUAAAUUGAGCCCCACAUGUGGAGCCUGGUAAGGCAUGUUACACAAACUGCAAUAUUUCCCAAAAAACAAGAAGAAAAACAAGUGGAGGAACAACAAAUGAAACUUUCACAUUCAUCACCAGUGAAGAGAAAGCCUUCUGGGAAGGAAGGAAGGAAGGAGACUCAGGAUAGGGAUUCAGAAAAUAAAAACCACACAGCUGCUUUCCAAGUAGUGCACAAGGAAGUAUCAAACCAGGCAAGCUUCCUCCCAGGAUGCAGCACAUCACCACAGCUCCUCAAGACUUCGAAUUCCACAAAGACCUGGAGUAUCUUGUCCUACAGAAGGGUACAUGCUAGCCCUUUGCAUACAGCCCAUCCACCCAAGCUAGAGGAAAAACACAGAAAACUUAUCAGAGGCCAGAUUCUAAGUAGCAGCUUAGAUGAGUUAGAGAACAAAAAAAAGAAAAUUUAAAAAAAAAAAAA